GACUCGCUUCGCCCAAUCCCCGCCUCUUCGUCCGUCUCCACAGGCCAUCGUCAGCCGCCGCCGUCGCCCGUCAUUGUCUUCCUCACUGCCUGCUUGUCAUUGUCGGUUAGGGGGUUCCCACGCUCACGGUGAAGAGGCUAUGGCAAAGGGCAUGCAGAGGAGCAGCAGGGCUCACUGAGGGGGAGAGGGCGUUACAAAGGGGAGCCGUGAAGGAGGAGGGGCCGCGGCAGCAGGAGCUCGCGAUGGCGGAGAAGAUUCCGUGUCGGUGAAGCGGAGCUUGCAUAUGUGCGGACCGCGCUCCGCAGGAGAGCGUGCGCCGCCGGCAAGGCUGCGCCCACGUCGCUGAAGUAGCAGGGGAAGCCGAAGGAGGGGGCGCGGCAUCCCGUGGCCGCGGUAGCCGGCGGGGCGACCCACGUCGCUGAAGUAGCAGGGGAAGCCGAACGAGGGCGCACGGCAUCCUGUGGCCACGAUAGCCGGCGGGGCGACGCGGCAUCGCUGACUCUGCAUCCACCGCCGUCCCUUUGAGUCUCGCGUGGUGGCCGGCAGGGUGACAGGAGGAGGGGCACGGGUUGCUGCUCAUGGCACUGCUGCGCCCAGGCUCUUCCUCCUCGACAAGUCUAGGUCAUUCCUCAUCUCAUCUGACCGCACUCAUGCCACAUAACCUGCUACAGCCGCGCGCUGUGUGUGGCGAGGGAUUACUUCUCCUGUGCAGUAAUACCCUUUUUGGAGUGUCCCAUGUUUGCAACUAUCCUUAUCUGCAGAGAAAAACAAAGGGACAAACAAAGUCCGGAUGCAAGGUGCAAGGCAGGAAAGGCGGUAGUAGGUCGAGAGAAGUGUAGAAGAGGGUUCCUCCAGGCUCCGUCCAUGUACGGUGUCGGUCCGAUGCCUCGGGCAUGUGGCAAUGUCGGGGACCAGCGAGGAAGAUUGUGUACAUCCUUUGGAAUAAAGUUGAAGUAAGCUCUAAGCACCACAGAGCCUACCACGCACGCCAUCUUGUUUAUAGUGCAGAUAAUCUAUAAACUACUGUUUAGGAAAGGAUUUAUAGUGUCUCUGAUAUAACGGUUCAGAAUAAAUAUCCAAUGAAGAUGAUGCGUGACGAACAACAUGGUGAUGAUCCAUAAAGCCCUACAUUGUUCUUUUGCUCGCUGGUGAAUUUACUACUUUCUGAUUGCAUGCCAAGUAGCCGAGCAGACACUUUCUUCGUAGAUUAGUUGUUUAGUUUCAUAUACUCAAUGCUUUGUCGAGUGUGGUGUCAUUGCAACAGCAGAGCUCAAACAUCCUUCAAAGUAUGUCUCAGGUUUAAGAAUGCUAAGCCUAGCAGUCUAUAAUGCAUAUAUAAAAGAUGGAAACUACACAAUCAAAUCCUUAGAGUGCAUAAUAUCAUCUAUGCUGUUGGGAAUUAUAAUGAAAUAUUGAUAACUGAAUGAAUACUCUUGUUAACUCACCGGGUGAUGAAAUUAAAUUGAAGAGACAUAUUCUGAAAAUCAAAAUUAUUUCUGAGUUUGUAUUCUACUCGUACACAUCUUCAUAUCCACCAGCACAUUCAAAUUCCAUAUAUGCAUGGAGUAGCGGUAUGAUUGGUCAAAAUAAAAAGACAGGAUGCUGCUUUGCAGAAAGUGGUCGUCAAGUAAUUAUUCUGCUGUUGGAAAUCGCCCACCAUCGAUCACAAUUCACAUCAAGUCGACGAACAUGACACACAAAAACUUUUGGCCAGAGGCACGUGCCAUGUCUUGUUCUUCUCUUUAUUUCUUUUCUAUUUUCUCCACACGAUUACAAAACUCAUGCAGCUUCAUGUGUGUGUGUGUGUGUCUAUACACACACGCGCGCGCGUGAAGCCAUGAGCCCAUGACCCAAUAACUGAACCGAGUAGUGGAAUAUUGUUGGUGCAAAUAAAUGUUCUUUGAGUUUAGAUGAUGCAUGGAUAAAUAACUCUAUGUGAUGAUUUAUUUGCCGGCACUGAUUACAUUCCCCAUGCGUUGUUGACGUUCCCACCCUUUGCCCUGCUAAUUCACGAAUUAGGUUUCAGACCCGAUAGCUUGUUAUGCUGUGUUGCAAUUAAACAGAAGUAUGGGCACCCUGGUGCAUGUAGCUCCCGCUUGCGCAGGGUCCAGGGAAGGGUCCGACCACUUUGGGUCUAUAGUACGCAGCCUUUCCCUACAUUUCUGUAAGAGGCUGUUUCCAGGACUUGAACCCAUGACCUCAUGGUCACAAGGCAGCAGCUUUACCACUGCGCCAAGGCUCCCCUUCAAUUAAACAGAAGUAUGGAUCUAGGAAAUUCAUGACUAGCUAUUGGUCUUCCUAUCAGCAGUAGAGAGAUGCCUGGUCAGCAGAUAUAUGUGUCUGAAACCUUUGCAUGGUGUACAUGCUAUACUAUGUAAUAAAUAAAACGUAGUUUAAUUUUUUAUUAUGCUGCUAAGAUACCCAAUCAGACUGAUUAUACAUACACCCAAAACAAUAUAUUAUAGUCUGAACUAUGAAACUAUACUCAAGAGGAAAGGUUAUACAUCAAUCCUUUCUGCAGAUUUCUUAUCAGCUCAUUCUGUCCUGUAUGAUUAUUUUAUGCCAAGCAAAUUGCUAGAUAUAUUCAUACUCUCCGUUUAACCAUAACAUCAAGAACACCCAAAAAUUAGCAAUCCUAACAGGUCUGCUGCUUGCGGGCAGAAAGUAACUAUCAAGGAAGAAGAGUUAGAUGCUAGCGACAUACCUGUCGAAGAUAUUGGCGGUAAGCACUGGCGGAGGAGCCCAGUGGGCAAGGUGUGGCAGCCGCCACACCUUGAUUUCCACCAAUUUUUUUAUAUAUAAACAUAUACUUUUAUUGAUGGAAAUACUGCUUGUUAGUUUUAGACCACGCUAGAUCGGUUCACCCAAACAAAGCUAGAUGAAGCACGUAAGUUAGAUUGGAAGCACACAAGCAGGCAGCUUGAUUGAUGUGUUGUCCAGCACAUGCCCAUCUCACUACGUAGACGUACACCAGCUCACUUCCGUUGCACAACGAUCGGAUCGAUUCUCUCCGCGGCUCGCUCCUGAUGGAACUCAUGACUAGGCGAUCCAAAAACAGAACGGAUAAAUUUUUGUUGAUGCGUGCAACAUGUAUUUUUUUUCUUAUGAUAUAUAUAAGAGUACAUGAUUGACUUCCGCCAGCCCGCCCGCGGGCGAUUUUUGCCCUGAAACGCGCCGCCGUCGCCCGUCGGCCCAUCCCCGACCCCGCCGCCGGCAGCGCAAUCGUAUUCCCCGCCGACCUGCCGAUUUGAGUCUGCUAUGCUCCGCCUCCACCGCCGGCGAUUUGUGCCCAACAACGCCGCCGCCCCCGCCCGUCCAUCCAUCCCUAACACCGUCUCGACCCGCGGCCUAUCGAAUUGGCAAUUAUGUUUUUGCAUCAUUUUUUUUAUUGAGGGGGCAUCAAUUUUGUCUAGUUGACAGUUUGCCACACCUUAAUUUUUUUCCGUCCUCCGCCUCCGGCGGUAAGCAUGUGUGGUACAGGUUAUUUAAGCUUUCCCUUAAGCCAUUCUUAGCCAACCCCGUGCAGUCCAUGCGCUAUGCAUAAGAACCACAGAUCGCUCAAGCAGCGUCGAAGCCUGCCUGUGACUGUUCCAAAUGCAUGCUUAUCAAUCCAGGUCCGACUUCUGUUCCACCAGUCUACUUCAAAAUGUUAGACAUCCAACAGUUACAGAUGUUCAGCUGCUUACUUCCUACCUUACUGCUUCAUUGUUUUAUUACAAAAGCCAGCUCUGAGGCAAAAACUUGAACACAGAGCUUCACACAGCAAUGUUUGCCUCAGCAACAACGCCACAGAACCGGACCAUCGAUGGAAAAGGGUCCAUUUAGCUGAUGGGGAAUACAUUGUCCAUGGGAAAAACCUGGCUUCCUUUAUGUAACUUGUGUCGCUUUGGAAACAUAAUAAACACUAUGAAUUUCGUGGUGAGAACUACAUAGAUGAAAGAUGAGCUGAGUGACCAUUGUAUAUGGGGAAACAGUGUGACCCUAUACACACGCCAUGUAUAAGAUCAAUGUAAAUGAGCUGCAUGACCUGCCUUCGUACCUUUCUUUGUACAUCGUUAGUCCUUUUGGGCUAUCAUGCUACCAUGACUCAAGUAUAAACCAUUAUGUAUAAAGAUACUAUCUAAGUAUCCAUUUACAUGGUGUUUAAGUCCACUACAGAUCCAACGUAGGUUUGAUAUUAUCUUGCCUGGCCUCAUGCAAAUCUUUCUUGCAUAACAGGAUAUACCUAUUCAGUGAUUUCGCUCCUCUUUAUUGAACUUUUAUUGUUUCUUGCUCAACUAUAUAGGUUAUGAUAAAUAUCAUCGCGUGGCUUAUGGAAGGAGCUGCUGACAGGACUAUCUUAACAACAAACUUGACGGAGUUCUUCACAUAGCAAACAUAGAUGAAGGAACGAUGUAUGCCUUCACCUUUAGGCGCAAGGCAAAGCGCCUCCGCCUCUAACCAUUCACUCCAUAUGAGGAUACCAUCAUAAACCUUCAGUGUCACCUAUAUACAGCUUGUGUACAGGACUUCAUGUUUAUAAUGCUCCUAUGCUAUCUCCACAUUGGUUUGUC